AUUGACCUGAUCGCUGUUACAGGUCUACAAUCAAAUUCGUUUAAAAGAGUUGGCAAUAUUUAUGUCCAGAGUUGCGAAUAUUACGUCAUGUAUGUUCGAUCCUGUUAAGUCAUAAGUAAUACCGAGUUUUUUUAGCACAAUAGAGCUAACACAGUCGUUAGCGGAUAAAUUAACUUACCUACAGGAUAAAAAGACAUGUCUGACGUAGUAACUGGUACAGUAAAGUUCUUCAACGAAACUAAAGGUUUCGGUUUCAUCACUCAGGAUUCAGGUCCAGAUGUAUUUGUUCACUUCUCUGCGAUCAACACUUCUGGCUUCAAAACUUUGGCUGAAGGCCAAAAAGUUGAAUUCCAAGUAGCUCAAGGCAAAAAAGGCCCUGAAGCACAAAACGUUACUCCUUUAUAAGGAAGCGUUGCUGAGGUUUUCUCAGUAAAAAAGUCAAAAAAGCGACCUUGUGUCGCUUUUUUUGUU
rnacentral:sRNA from 1 species